rnacentral:rRNA from 1 species
GACGAACGCUGGCGGCGUGCCUAAUACAUGCAAGUAGAACGCUGAAGGAGGAGCUUGCUCUUCUGGACGAGUUGCGAACGGGUGAGUAACGCGUAGGUAACCUGCCUGGUAGCGGGGGAUAACUAUUGGAAACGAUAGCUAAUACCGCAUAACAGUAGAUGUUGCAUGACAUUUGCUUAAAAGGUGCAAUUGCACCACUACCAGAUGGACCUGCGUUGUAUUAGCUAGUUGGUGGGGUAACGGCUCACCAAGGCGACGAUACAUAGCCGACCUGAGAGGGUGAUCGGCCACACUGGGACUGAGACACGGCCCAGACUCCUACGGGAGGCAGCAGUAGGGAAUCUUCGGCAAUGGGCGGAAGUCUGACCGAGCAACGCCGCGUGAGUGAAGAAGGUUUUCGGAUCGUAAAGCUCUGUUGUAAGAGAAGAACGAGUGUGAGAGUGGAAAGUUCACACUGUGACGGUAUCUUACCAGAAAGGGACGGCUAACUACGUG